UUGAACGCUAGCGGCAGGCCUAACACAUGCAAGUCGAGCGGUUGAGAGUAGCUUGCUACUUGAUGCAGCGGCGGACGGGUGAGUAACGCGUGGGAAUCUGCCCAGUAGUGGGGGACAACAGCCGGAAACGGCUGCUAAUACCGCAUACGCCCUACGGGGGAAAGGGGGGGAUCUUCGGACCUCUCGCUAUUGGAUGAGCCCGCGUCGGAUUAGCUAGUUGGUAGGGUAAAGGCCUACCAAGGCUACGAUCCGUAACUGGUCUGAGAGGAUGAUCAGUCACACUGGAACUGAGACACGGUCCAGACUCCUACGGGAGGCAGCAGUGGGGAAUAUUGGACAAUGGGGGAAACCCUGAUCCAGCCAUGCCGCGUGUGUGAAGAAGGCCUUAGGGUUGUAAAGCACUUUCAGUGGGGAGAAAGGUUUGUCACCUAAUACGUGAUGAAAUUGAUGUUACCCACAGAAGAAGCACCGGCUAACUCCGUGCCAGCCGCCGCGGUAAUAC
rnacentral:rRNA from 1 species